GAUGAACGCUGGCGGCGUGCCUAAUACAUGCAAGUCGAGCGAACGGACGAGAAGCUUGCUUCUCUGAUGUUAGCGGCGGACGGGUGAGUAACACGUGGAUAACCUACCUAUAAGACUGGGAUAACUUCGGGAAACCGGAGCUAAUACCGGAUAAUAUUUUGAACCGCAUGAUUCAAAAGUGAAAGACGGUCUUGCUGUCACUUAUAGAUGGAUCCGCGCUGCAUUAGCUAGCUGGUAAGGUAACGGCUUACCAAGGCAACGAUGCAUAGCCGACCUGAGAGGGUGAUCGGCCACACUGGAACUGAGACACGGUCCAGACUCCUACGGGAGGCAGCAGUAGGGAAUCUUCCGCAAUGGGCGAAAGCCUGACGGAGCAACGCCGCGUGAGUGAUGAAGGUCUUCGGAUCGUAAAACUCUGUUAUUAGGGAAGAACAUAUGUGUAAGUAACUGUGCACAUCUUGACGGUACCUAAUCAGAAAGCCACGGCUAACUACGUG
rnacentral:rRNA from 1 species